UUCGUGAUAGCUCAGUUAGCCGAGCAUCCGCCCUUUAAGCGGAGUGUAGCUGGUUCGAUUCCAAUUCUCGGAG
rnacentral:tRNA from 1 species